rnacentral:rRNA from 2 species
AGGUGCGAUCAUAUCAGCACUAAUGCACCGGAUCCCAUUAGAACUCUGCAGUUAAGCGUGCUUGGGCGAGAGUAGUACUAGGAUGGGUGACCUCCUGGGAAGUCCUUGUGUUUAACCUC